ACCCAUUAACAUAUUAUGAAACACACCCCACACUAUAUAUACACACUUCAAAAUGUUGAAGUGUUCUUCACAAAACACAGGCAUAAAGUAAGGACACAGCAGUUUCUUUCUUUUCAUAAAUAUUACCAAUUAAGGUAAGUGAAAGUGCUGCAUCGAACAUUUUGCUUUAACACAGCUUAUUGCAACAUUUCCUCCUAAUUAACUAAUUAACAAAGUAAAUUCCAAGUAAACUCAGUUAAGCAUUUCUUAAAUCAUUUUCAGGCAAACAAUGAAUAGUCAGGAUGAAGAGAGGUAUAGUAUUUAGUUAUGUUUUGUGCAUGUGUGUGUGUUUUGGCAAUUUGAGCAUUAAAAUAUCAAGUGUCUGUAUCUGGGAUAAAUAAAAUAUCUGCCUUGAAAUUAGCAAGAUACAUUUUUUUGCAUGUUAUUUCUUCCACACAGUACUGUGGUGGUCAAAUAUAUUGUUUCGUAACAUGAUAGCUCAGAAUAAAUGACAGUUAUCUUGUGUUUAUUGUACAUUCACUGUUGCACCUGUAUCUAAAUCUACAGUAAUCAAUCGUCUAAAUCUAAUAAUGCCUGUUUGUUUCUCUCUUUUGAUUAUUCAAUUAUAAGAUCAAUUUCAGAGUCACAGACUCAUGGAGCAUUCCACAAUUAUUUGACUGAGUCCGUUCAGCCUUUGAUUGAGUUGAUUGACUCUCUGAGGUUGAUUGGCAUUGAAAAGGAUAUGGAUCUACCAUCAAUUGCAGUGGUAGGAGAUCAGAGUUCUGGAAAGAGCUCUGUUUUGGAGGCACUCUCUGGGGUGGCUUUACCUCGAGGAAGUGUGGCAUUGAUGACCAAACUGUCCGAUGUGUUGAGGAGCUGGUGCUGGCGGCCAAAGAGCUGCCAGCUAUUACGGAAGCACUGCGGGACCUGGGGCUAUAUGCUCGGGCAAAUAGGGUCAGCACGGUGGCUCUGACUGGUGACCAGGUGGCAACAGUCAGGUCAACAUUUCAGUGCCUUAUAUGCAGAGAAAAGGGGGUUCCUAAUGUUUUGGCUCAUGGAGGAUGCCAAAAGAGAGUGUCUGUGGAUCUUUUGCCAAAUGCAGUGGAGGCUGCAGGCUGGUAUGACCGUGAAGCAAGAUCUUCAUUGACACCAGUUGCAACUUUUGGGCAGAAUCCAUGUCAGUCAACAGAGGACCAGGUUGCUGUGGAGAGGCAGUUCUCUAUGCAGUGUCCUGACAUUGCGUCUCUUUUUGAACGAUGAGGUGGUGGUGUUGGCGCAGUAGAUAAGACACAUGCCUUUGGUGUGAGAGACCCGGGUUUGAAUCCACUGUGAGACACCAAUGUGUCCCUGAGCAAGACACUUUACCCCUAGUUGCUCCAGAGGCGUGCGACCUCUGACAUAUAUAGCAAUUGUAAGUCGCUUUGGAUAAAAGCGUCAGCUAAAUGAAUAAAUGUAAAUGUAAAUGAACGUGUUGUCAAUUUCCAACAAGAAGAGUUCCAAAAUGCUUUGAAAAUACUAAUUGAUCUUGUUCGAAUUCAUGCUUAAGAAAGAAAUUCAUAAAGGAUUGAAAAAAACAUGAGAGUGAGUAUAUGAUGACAGAAUUUAUUUUAAAGUGGAGUAUCCUUUAACAAGUGAACUGGAUCAAAUUCCUGUGGAAUAAAAAAUGUUCUUGAUUGCAUUCAUUGUUUCUCGUUUUAUUGUUUGAUUAUACAGCCAGGACUGGACUUCUUGCUUUUACACACACACACACACACACAUAUAUAUAUAUAUAUUUUUUUUUUUUUUCAUGGUAUAAUUAUGUAAUCUGCUUAUUGUGAGCCUAAAUGAGUAAAUUGGUAUUUAAACAUUAUCAG
rnacentral:lncRNA from 1 species